UAUAAGGUUAAGUUAAUAAGGGCGCACGGUGGAUGCCUUGGCACUAGAAGCCGAUGAAGGACGUGACUAACGACGAAAUGCCUUGGGGAGCUGUAAGU
rnacentral:rRNA from 1 species